ACGAACGCUGGCGGCGUGCUUAACACAUGCAAGUCGAACGGAAAGGCCCUGCUUUUGUGGGGUGCUCGAGUGGCGAACGGGUGAGUAACACGUGAGUAACCUGCCCUUGACUUUGGGAUAACUUCAGGAAACUGGGGCUAAUACCGGAUAGGAGCUCCUGCUGCAUGGUGGGGGUUGGAAAGUUUCGGCGGUUGGGGAUGGACUCGCGGCUUAUCAGCUUGUUGGUGGGGUAGUGGCUUACCAAGGCUUUGACGGGUAGCCGGCCUGAGAGGGUGACCGGCCACAUUGGGACUGCGAUACGGCCCAGACUCCUACGGGAGGCAGCAGUGGGGAAUAUUGCACAAUGGGCGGAAGCCUGAUGCAGCAACGCCGCGUGCGGGAUGACGGCCUUCGGGUUGUAAACCGCCUUCGCCUGUGACGAAGCGUGAGUGACGGUAAUGGGUAAAGAAGCACCGGCUAACUACGUG
rnacentral:rRNA from 1 species